AUUGAACGCUGGCGGCAGGCCUAACGCAUGCAAGUCGAGCGGUAGAGAGGUGCUUGCAUCUCUUGAGAGCGGCGGACGGGUGAGUAAUGCCUAGGAAUCUGCCUAGUGGUGGGGGAUAACGUUCGGGAACGGACGCUAAUACCGCAUACGUCCUACGGGAGAAAGCGGGGGAUCUUCGGACCUCGCGCCAUUAGAUGAGCCUAGGUCGGAUUAGCUAGUUGGUGAGGUAAUGGCUCACCAAGGCGACGAUCCGUAACUGGUCUGAGAGGAUGAUCAGUCACACUGGAACUGAGACACGGUCCAGACUCCUACGGGAGGCAGCAGUGGGGAAUAUUAGGACAAAUGGGCGAAGCCUGAUCCAGCCACGCCGCGUGUGUGAAGAAGGUCUUCGGAUUGU
rnacentral:rRNA from 1 species